AGCGAACGCUGGCGGCAGGCCUAACACAUGCAAGUCGAACGAACCUUCGGGUUAGUGGCGGACGGGUGAGUAACACGUGGGAACGUGCCUUUUGGUUCGGAACAACUCAGGGAAACUUGAGCUAAUACCGAAUGUGCCCUUCGGGGGAAAGAUUUAUCGCCAUUAGAGCGGCCCGCGUCUGAUUAGCUUGUUGGUGAGGUAAAGGCUCACCAAGGCUACGAUCAGUAGCUGGUCUGAGAGGAUGAUCAGCCACAUUGGGACUGAGACACGGCCCAAACUCCUACGGGGGGCAGCAGUGGGGAAUCUUGCGCAAUGGGCGAAAGCCUGACGCAGCCAUGCCGCGUGAAUGAUGAAGGUCUUAGGAUUGUAAAAUUCUUUCACCGGGGACGAUAAUGACGGUACCCGGAGAAGAAGCCCCGGCUAACUUCGUGCCAGCCGCCGCAGUAACAC
rnacentral:rRNA from 1 species